rnacentral:rRNA from 1 species
UACAGAGGUCUCAACCGUUGUUCGGAUUCAUUGGGCGUAAAGGGUGCGUAGGCGGUCGCGUAAGUCAGGUGUGAAAUCUCAGGGCUCAACCCUGAAACUGCACUUGAUACUGCGUGGCUCGGGUACUGGAGAGGAGACUGGAAUUUACGGUGUAGCAGUGAAAUGCGUAGAUAUCGUAAGGAAGGCCAGUAGCGAAGGCGAGUUCCUGGACAGUUACUGACGCUGAGGCACGAAGGCCAGGGGAGCAAACGGG